rnacentral:rRNA from 1 species
GACGUAGGUGGCGAACGUUAUCCGGAAUUAUUGGGCGUAAAGGGUGCGUAGGCGGCAUGAUAAGUUAUUGGCGGGAAAUCGAGGCUCAACCUCGUGGAAACUAAUAAUACUGUUUUGCUUGAGUACAGGAGAGGUUAACGGAACUCCAUGUGGAGCGGUAAAAUGUGUAGAUAUAUGGAAGAACAUCAAUAACGGCGAAGGCAGCUAACUAUUCUGUUACUGACGUUGAGGCACGAAAGCGUGGGGGGCAAAACGG